rnacentral:rRNA from 1 species
GAGUUUGAACCUGGCUCAGGAUGAACGCUGGCGGCGUGCCUAAUACAUGCAAGCCGAGCGAACCACUUCGGUGGUGAGCGGCGAACGGGUGAGUAACACGUAGGUGAUCUGCCCAUCAGACGGGGACAACGAUUGGAAACGAUCGCUAAUACCGGAUAGGACGAAAGUUUAAAGGUGCUUCUGGCACCGCUGAUGGAUGAGCCUGCGGCGCAUUAGCUAGUUGGUAGGGUAAAGGCCUACCAAGGCGACGAUGCGUAGCCGACCUGAGAGGGUGAACGGCCACACUGGGACUGAGACACGGCCCAGACUCCUACGGGAGGCAGCAGUAGGGAAUCUUCGGCAAUGGGCGAAAGCCUGACCGAGCAACGCCGCGUGAAUGAUGAAGGCCUUCGGGUUGUAAAAUUCUGUUAUAAGGGAAGAACGACUUUAGUAGGAAAUGGCUAGAGUGUGACGGUACCUUAUGAGAAAGCCACGGCUAACUACGUGCCAGCAGCCGCGGUAAUACGUA